rnacentral:tRNA from 1 species
GGUGGCUCAAUGGUAGAGCACUUGCUUUGCAUGCAUGAGGCCCUGGGUUCGAUUCCUCAGCACCA